CCUUCUAGUGUUUACCUGUGCAAUAAUGACGUGCCACGUUGCAAAUAGUUUUCAUACAGUGGUGAAAUGAAUAAAAUUGAUGAAGAACGAGUAUUUUUAUUCAAUAUGAGUCGAUAAAUGUAGGUUUUUAUGUCAAAUAAACGUACUUGUAACAAUUGAAACAGUAACACAUUUGUUUUGAUCGAAAUCGAUAAGUUCAACUAUUGAGCGGGCUUUUCACUGUGUGGAUGUGUGUACACAUUAAGUGUGCCAACAUGGAGCGUUGCACCGUAAAACAUAGAUUGAAUUUGGUUGGACAUGUUUGUCUGAGAGCAGAAAGAAGUCGACAAAUUAUCAUGAUCAGACUGACAGACAGCGGGAGCGGAGAUAGUUGACGUUGCCACGGGUCCAGUAACUGUUGAUGUCCUUCUAGAUUUGGUGUGACGAUGGCAGUGCAAAUAAUAUCACUUGGAUUAUACAUUUUAUAGUGUACUAAAUAUAUAGAAAGCGAGCCAUAUUA